rnacentral:rRNA from 1 species
GACGAACGCUGGCGGCGUGCUUAACACAUGCAAGUCGAACGAAGAGCGACGGAAGCUUGCUUCUAUCAAUCUUAGUGGCGAACGGGUGAGUAACGCGUAAUCAACCUGCCCUUCAGAGGGGGACAACAGUUGGAAACGACUGCUAAUACCGCAUACGAUCUAACCUCGGCAUCGAGGAUAGAUGAAAGGUGGCCUCUACAUGUAAGCUAUUACUGAAGGAGGGGAUUGCGUCUGAUUAGCUAGUUGGAGGGGUAACGGCCCACCAAGGCGAUGAUCAGUAGCCGGUCUGAGAGGCUGAACGGCCACAUUGGGACUGAGACACGGCCCAGACUCCUACGGGAGGCAGCAGUGGGGAAUCUUCCGCAAUGGACGAAAGUCUGACGGAGCAACGCCGCGUGAGUGAUGACGGCCUUCGGGUUGUAAAGCUCUGUUAAUCGGGACGAAAGGCCUUCUUGCGAAUAGUGAGAAGGAUUGACGGUACCGGAAUAGAAAGCCACGGCUAACUACGUG